rnacentral:rRNA from 1 species
UAGGGAAUCUUCCGCAAUGGACGAAAGUCUGACGGAGCAACGCCGCGUGAGUGAAGAAGGAUUUCGGUUCGUAAAACUCUGUUGUUAGGGAAGAAAAAAUGUAUAGUAACUAUAUACAAAAGAGACGGUACCUAACCAGAAAGCCACGGCUAACUACGUGCCAGCAGCCGCGGUAAUACGUAGGUGGCAAGCGUUGUCCGGAUUUAUUGGGCGUAAAGCGAGCGCAGGCGGUUAGAAAAGUCUGGAGUGAAAGGCAGUGGCUCAACCAUUGUAGGCUUUGGAAACUGUUUAACUUGAGUGCAGAAGGGGAGAGUGGAAUUCCAUGUGUAGCGGUGAAAUGCGUAGAUAUAUGGAGGAACACCGGUGGCGAAAGCGGCUCUCUGGUCUGUAACUGACGCUGAGGCUCGAAAGCGUGGGGAGCGAACAGG